rnacentral:lncRNA from 1 species
GACGAGCAUCGGAUUCAGUUGGUGUUCCGGUUUCGGGUUGUGCUGUCAGUUGCCUUUUUCUCCGUGCACAGCCACUGAGAGAUUGUGUUCCAUCAGCGGAGUGUCGCGUCGCAUUGGUCGUGGUCCGUAGCCGUGUCCGUGUCCGUUUGUGCGUGUGCGUGAGCGUGAGCGUGAGUGCGUGCGAAUGUGUGUUGUGUGUGUGUUUUGUGUGUGUGUGUGCCUGUUGUCUGUCGCUGACGGUGCGCGCGCGUGUAUCUGUGUGUGAGUGUGUGCGUGCGUGCGUGAGUGCGUGUACUGUGCACUACAAUGCCAUAUACAUAGCCAUAUACUAAUACAUGCCUACCCCACACACAUACAUAAAUGCAUGGAAAUAAGUUAGAAAACGUUGCUCGAAUACUCGUGUGUACCACCAGACCAUCAAGCCAUCAGACCAGCAGGUAAAAUAACCAAACUAUUCAUGAAUAUAUAUGGUACAAAUAUCGUUUAAACGCGUGCGUGGGCACGUGUGUGUGUGUAUUCUAGAGAUGGAACUGCGUGAGUGAGUGUGUGUGUGUGUGUGAACCUUCCAAGAGGAGGAAAUUGAUAUUCUUAUUUCUUCUUGUGCAAAAUACAUAUGUAUACACUCCCCCCCACACCCCUCUCUCUACACGCUUUUCUCAUGUGUAAAUUUUGUGAAAAUUCCAUCAGCAUCAACCUCAAAUCAUCAUCAUCAUCAGCAUCAGGAUGAUUGUCCUCAUCGCAACAUUGUAGUACACACACACACACACACACACACACACACACACACACACACACACACACACACACACACACACACACACAUCUAUUCAUCUAUUUUUUACUUUUAUUUUCCCCUCAUCUUUCAUUUUGAUUUUUAUUAUUUUCUAUUCGAUUUGAUGGGCCCGCAAAUGUUUUGCCAAAUUUCUAAUUGACCAUCAAGGCGAUGCUGCUUCAAAAUGGAAAGUAUCUUGCGGAUACAUGUCAAGUGCAACUCUCUCGCUCGCUCUCUCUCUCUCGCCUUCUCUCUCUCUCUCGCUUCUUUUGUUCGCUCUUUGUGCAGGUGAAGGUGUGUGCGUGUGAGUGUGUGUAUAACAGGUGCCAAAAAAUAAAUGGCAAUGGUUACUUUUAUGUUCAUAUUGUGUGUGUGGGAGUAAAACCGAAAGAUAUUUUUUGGGGCAUUGUCAACAAGUGAGAAAAUCGUGAUGAUUGCCUGCUGAAUAAUUUGUGAUAUGUGAAAUUAAUUAAAUUCCAUUUUGUUCCUCUCUUUUCCGCCCUGCAGCCACCAGCAAUGGAUGACAGAACUAAAAUAAAACAAAAACUAUAUAAAUGAAAAAAAUAUACACAUAAUUUAAGUCUAAGCAAUAUUUAUUCUGAUUGAGUGAGAGGAAAUACAAAAAUCCAACAGUGCGCGAAAAAUAAUCGAAAAUCGAACACUGCGUGAAAUAAUCUUUUAUAGUAAGACUCUAAAAACCCGAAACAAAUAUUACUAAAGCAAUGAAAAAAGGCUUAAAACAUGAACUCAACCAAAAACAAACUGCACAAAAUAAACUAUAAGCAUUAAACAAUAAUGAUGACGAGGAG